UACGUAGGGUCCGAGCGUUGACCGGAAUUAUUAGGCGGAAAGAGCUCGUAGGCGGUUUGUCACGUCUGCUGUGAAAACUGGAGGCUCAACCUCCAGCCUGCAGUGGGUACGGGCAGACUAGAGUGCGGUAGGGGAGAAUGGAAUUCCUGGUGUAGCGGUGGAAUGCGCAGAUAUCAGGAGGAACACCGGUGGCGAAGGCGGGUCUCUGGGCAGUAACUGACGCUGAGGAGCGAAAGCGUGGGGAGCGAACAGG
rnacentral:rRNA from 1 species